rnacentral:rRNA from 1 species
GUGUCAGCCGCCGCGGUAAGACGAACCGUGCAAACGUUGUUCGGAAUCACUGGGCUUAAAGGGCGCGUAGGCGGGUUUCCAAGUCUGUGGUGAAAUCCUCCAGCUUAACUGGAGAAGUGCCGUGGAUACUGGAAGUCUCGAGGAGGGUAGGGGCAUCUGGAACUGCCGGUGGAGCGGUGAAAUGCGUUGAUAUCGGCAGGAACUCCGAUGGCGAAGGCAAGGUGCUGGACCCUUUCUGACGCUGAGGCGCGAAAGCCAGGGGAGCAAACGGGAUUAGAAACCCCCGUAGUCC